CAUGGGGCACUGCUGAGACAUGGUUAUGAUCCCCUGCCCAGCGGGGCAGAUUAAGGAUCUGACAUCUGCUGCGGUGUAGGUCACCGCUGAGGCUUGGAUUUGAUCUCUGGCAUGGGAACUUCCGCAUGCGGUAGGGCAGCCAAAAAAAAAAAAAAGAAAAAGAAACAAGAAGGAAAGAAAAUGUGAGAUAGAUAGACAGACACACACAGGAAUAUUAUUCAGUUUUUAAAAAGAAGGAAAUCCUUUCAUUUGUGAUAAUAUGGAUAAGCCUAUAGGACAUUUUAUUAAUUGAAAUAAGGUGAUAGAGAAAGACAAAUAGUGCAUAGUUAUCACUUACAUGCGGAAUCUAAAAACAAAGUCCAACUCAUAGAAACAGAGAAUAGAAAAGUGGUUGCAAGGGAAUGGGAGAUGGGGGAAAUAGAAAGAAUUUGGUAAAAGGGUACACACUUUGAGCUCUCAAUUGAAUAGGGUCUGAGGAUCUCACCUAUAACACGGUGGCUAUAGUUGAUAACACUGUGUUGUAUAAUUGAAAUUUGUUCAGAGAUGAAGUUCGAGUUGAGGUGCAGCAAAAAUGGAUCUGACUAGGAACUAUGAGGUUGCAGGUUGGAUCCCUGGCCUUGCUCAGUGGGUUAAGGAUAUGGCAUUGCCAUGAGCUGUGGCGUAAGUUGCAGAUGUGGCUCGGAUCUCGUGUUGCUGUGGCGUAGGCCAGUGGCUACAGCUCUGAUUAGACCUCUAGCCUGGAAACUUCCAUGUGUGGCCCUGUAAAAGCAAAAAAAGAAAGCAAGAAAAAAUUUGUUCUGAGAGUAAAAGUUAAAUGCCCUCAUCUAAAAAAAUUCUGCAGCAGUGUGUGAGGUGAUAGAGGUGUUAAUUAACUAAAGGGGGGCCCUUUCAUAAUACAUACAUAUUUAAAUCAUUAGGUUAAACACCUUAAAUAUCUCACAACUUCAUUUGUCAAAUAUACUUCAAAAAAGUGGAAAAAGGGGAAAAUGAUCUCUGAUCUUCCAUGUAUUCUCUUUACCUGUCUGUCAUCUCUGGAGAAGUUCUUCUGACCUGCUUUUCAGUUGACAGGUGAGUCAGUGUUGCUAAAAUUCUCUCUCUACUUCUCUGCUGCUCUUCAAGGAUUUCUCCUAAAAUGCAUUGUCUAGUUUCAGAUUUUUUCCCCCCUUUUACUGUCUGUCACAUCCCCAGGGUUAAACUUUUGAAAGUUAAAUGCCAAGAAUUUACUCUUUUAAUUUUUUUUCAAUUUCCUGACCUACCACUCUUCUUAGAAUGAAAAGAGGGGACUCCCUGCAUUAAUUGAAAGAUUGGGGGCAAUAAAGAGAUCCCAGGGCUUGGGUAAGCAGGAACUGAACAUUGAUAUUUUAAAGUCUCCUGCACCACAAAGAACACAGUGCAUAAAAAGACUUGAAGGCAAAGGAAGUCAGGUACUAAUCAGCAACCUAAAAAUGAAUUCAACCUGAUCAGAAUUUAGAGAAAAUCCACCCUGAAUAAGACCAAAAUAUAACAGUGAGGUCUGGGUCAUGAAGGGCCUUGCAUGCUGUAUAAGAUGAUUAAACCAUGUCUUAAGGCAAUGGAGAAGCAUUAGAAAGUUUAAAGCAGAGAAGUGAUGAGCUGACCAGAUUUAUGUUUUAGAAAGAUUAAUGUGGUUGCUUUAUAGACUCUGUAUUGGACACGAUCUAGGAAAGAUCAUGAUGGCCUUGGAUUAGAAUAAAAGAACUGACCAAUCAGAGAGACUUUAAUUAGGUGGCAUAAAGAGCACUUGGUAAUUGAUUGAAUGUAGAAAUUGAAGCAAGGUGAGAUAACACAGAUGACACCCCUGUUUCUAAUAUGUGCAUUUGGGUGCAUGGUGUUACCUUUUUUUAGGGUUAAAAAAAAUAGGAUUUUUUAAUUUCCAUCAAAGUACAAAUUUAUGUCUAAAAUAUUGAAAUAUGUGACAAGAUUUGUAAUGAAAACCAGGGGUCUCAUGAUCCAUCUCACUCCCACAUCCCAGACCUUUACACAUUUCCUCUGAUAUUUAUCUCCAAGUUCCUAAAUACUCUUUCUAUACUGCUACACUUUGAUUUUUCCAUCUUGGGGGAAGUCUAUUGACUACCUACUGGGAAAGGCCAGGAUUUAACCUCUUAGAUGUGUUCAUGUACCAGCCCAAACCCCACCACCUCUACACAUAGAAAAACUUUAUUUUCCCCAUCCAUUGCGAAUUACCACAAUUUUCAGAUAAACUAAACCAAAUAAAACAAAACACAAUAGUCAUAGUAUUGUAAAGCUUCCGUUUUUAAGCGUAGAAGACAGCCAUUGGUUUGGGGAAAUGGUACAUGCAAGGAAGAGUUCAAUUACUUUGAUGCUUUCAAGAUGGAACAUGUUAACUUUGGCGUGUCUUUUUGGUCAUCCCAGUAGACAUCCCAAUAGAGACACCUAGUAUACCAUUGGCUAUGUAGGUCUGGAGCUCUGCAUAGAGAUCUGCAGAGAGAGAUAUUUGCCUGGUAUCAGUAUGUAAAAAGGUAAAAUUGAAUUUCCUAUGAUUCAGAUUUACUGAAAUAUGUAAUAGCAAAAACUUCACUAUUUGUGGAAAUUUGUGGUUUCCUUAAACUUCUACUUUUUUUUUUUUUUAAACCAUAGAGUGAUAGCCUAAUAGAUAAAAGUAGUUAAAACUAAUUAGGCCAAAAUGAUUAGAACUGUGACAUUAUUUGCUUCAGUUUACUUGAUAUAUCUUUCUCCUCUAUGUAAGAAAAAAAUGUUGAAUGUGGUAUAUGUAUGUAUGUGUGUGUGUAUAUAUAUAUAUUUGGCUUAAGGUGAAUUAAACUAAUUUUGUUUUGGAUCCUUUUCUUAAAAAAAAUAAAAUGUCAGAGGUCCCAUUGUGGCUCAGUGGGUUAAGAACCCAACCCUGAGAGGAUGCAAGCUUGAUCCCCGGCCUCUCUCAUGGGUUAAGGGAUCCCACCUUGCCCCAAGCCACAGCAUGGGUCACAGAUGAAGCUCAGUUCUGGCAUUGCUGUGGCUGUGGCUUGGGUGGCAGCUGCAGCUCAAUUCAACCCCUCGCCUGAGAACUUCCAUAUGCUGCAGGUGCACCCCUAAAAAGAAAAAAAAAA
ensembl:lncRNA